rnacentral:rRNA from 1 species
AACGCGAAGAACCUUACCUGGGCUCGAAGUGCAGUGCAUCGGGGUAGAAAUAUCCCUUCCCGCAAGGGGUGCUGCAUAGGUGCUGCAUGGCUGUCGUCAGCUCGUGUCGUGAGAUGUUGGGUUAAGUCCCGCAACGAGCGCAACCCUUAUUGCCAGUUGCCAUCAUUAAGUUGGGCACUCUGGCGAAACUGCCCCGGAUAACGGGGAGGAAGGUGGGGAUGACGUCAAGUCCUCAUGGCCUUUAUGUCCAGGGCUACACACGUGCUACAAUGGCCGGUACAAACCGUCGCAAACCCGCGAGGGGGAGCUAAUCGGAAAAAGCCGGUCUCAGUCCGGAUUGGAGUCUGCAACUCGACUCCAUGAAGCUGGAAUCGCUAGUAAUCGCGGAUCAGCACGCCGCGGUGAAUACGUUCCCGGGCCUUGUA